UAGGGCGAAAGCCUGACGCAGCAACGCCGCGUGAGGGAUGAAGGCUUUCGGGUUGUAAACCUCUUCAGCAGGGACGAUUGUGACGGUACCUGCAGAAGAAGCCCCGGCCAACUACGUGCCAGCAGCCGCGGUAACACGUAGGGGGCGAGCGUUGUCCGGAUUUAUUGGGCGUAAAGAGCUCGUAGGUGGUUCGGUAAGUCGGGUGUGAAAACUCUGGGCUCAACUCAGAGACGCCACCUGAUACUGCCGUGACUUGAGUCUGGUAGGGGAGUGUGGAAUUCCCGGUGUAGCGGUGAAAUGCGCAGAUAUCGGGAGGAACACCAGUGGCGAAGGCGGCACUCUGGGCCAGUACUGACACUGAGGAGCGAAAGCGUGGGUAGCGAACAGGAUUAGAUACCCUGGUAGUCCACGCCGUAAACGUUGGGCACUAGGUGUGGGUCUCAACCAACGGGAUCCGUGCCGCAGCUAACGCAUUAAGUGCCCCGCCUGGGGAGUACGGCCGCAAGGCUA
rnacentral:rRNA from 1 species